rnacentral:rRNA from 1 species
UUUCCUACGGGGCGCAGCAGUGGGGAAUAUUGCACAAUGGGGGAAACCCUGAUGCAGCGACGCCGCGUGAGUGAAGAAGUAUUUCGGUAUGUAAAGCUCUAUCAGCAGGGAAGAAGAAAGACGGUACCUGACUAAGAAGCCCCGGCUAACUACGUGCCAGCAGCCGCGGUAAUACGUAGGGGGCAAGCGUUAUCCGGAAUUAUUGGGUGUAAAGGGUGCGUAGACGGAAGAACAAGUUGGUUGUGAAAUCCCUCGGCUCAACUGAGGAACUGCAACCAAAACUAUUCUCCUUGAGUGUCGGAGAG